GACAAACGCUGGCGGCGUGCCUAAUACAUGCAAGUAGAACGCUGAAGGAGGAGCUUGCUUCUCUGGAUGAGUUGCGAACGGGUGAGUAACGCGUAGGUAACCUGCCUGGUAGCGGGGGAUAACUAUUGGAAACGAUAGCUAAUACCGUAUAAUAGUAGAUGUUGCAUGACAUUUGCUUAAAAGGUGCAAUUGCAUCACUACCAGAUGGACCUGCGUUGUAUUAGCUAGUUGGUGGGGUAACGGCUCACCAAGGCGACGAUACAUAGCCGACCUGAGAGGGUGAUCGGCCACACUGGGACUGAGACACGGCCCAGACUCCUACGGGAGGCAGCAGUAGGGAAUCUUCGGCAAUGGACGGAAGUCUGACCGAGCAACGCCGCGUGAGUGAAGAAGGUUUUCGGAUCGUAAAGCUCUGUUGUAAGAGAAGAACGAGUGUGAGAGUGGAAAGUUCACACUGUGACGGUAUCUACCAGAAAGGAC
rnacentral:rRNA from 1 species